AUCAGUACCAUCUAACGUGCUAAUUGGACUCCCACCAAAGACUCAAGAGUUUUCCAAGUAAUAUAAUCAACUAUUUUUUUACAAAGUGAGGCUUAUAUUGAAAAAUUAAUAAUUCUGCAGAACUCUCGAUGAAGGACGGUGGCGUUGGUACAUAAUGCAAUUCCUACGUUAUUUGAACAUUCUAAGAUACAAAAUACACGACAGCUUCUGUUUAACCGAAACAAAGAUGCAGAAUAAUUUCAAAUGAAGCAAAUAAUUCUAAUGUUAGAACAUUUGUAUGUUUGCACUCAUGGGGCAUCAAAUAAGGAAGAUUAUCUUGAUCACGAAGUUCAAAACCCACUCUCAUCAAAAAAAUUUAUCAAAGGAGCCCCUUCGAUUGAAGUUUUAACAUAAGAACCAUGACCAAAAUUUAUUAAUUUAGCAACGUCAAAUAAAUCUUUAUCUGCAAAACUUAGCGAAACUUAUCAAGAACAAGGCUUUAAUAAUUUCAACUAAAAAAAAAUUAGCAAUAUAUCGAAAAAGGUGGUAUCUGGAAAUGAUAAAGUAGAGAACAUAAUACUUUUAUCAUAUUUAAUGUUUUAGGGUCAGGUUUGUUGCAAAACCUAUAUUGAAGGGUUCUUUAAUAAAUUAAGAUGUUUGUCAAAGAAAGGAAAGAACUUUCGACUCACUUAUUCAAGUCCAACAGUUAAAAAACACUAAAACUUAAGUAAACAGAUAAAUAUAAAGAAAUAAUUUACGAUUCUUUUAUAACUUAAAUUGAAACUAUAUCCUAUCGUAUGAAUUUGAGAUGGUUUAUUACACUUUUCAGAUUUUUUUGUGGUUCGUCGGAGUAUGAAUCUCUUCUUGAGCAAGGAUUUUCUCUACUCUUGCUUAGGACACUGUAAUGAAAAAUUGAAGACAUUUCAUUUGAAAGCUGUAUUUUGAAUGUGUUUUUGACAUUUAAAUUAACUACCUCCCCCCCGUGUAAAUGACAAAAUUGGUAUAAUAUUGAUGGAUGAAAUGGUCAUCAAAAGUUUAAAGACUAUGAUCAACGGCUAGGCUAUAUAAUGGACAGGUUACUCUUCCAGAGUUUGUAGUGUAAAAUUCACUUAAGUAUUUAAUAUUUAAAAAGUAAAUUUGGUUCUUUUUGAAGGUAUUUUUAUUACAGAAUUUAAUAUUAAAUUCUGUAAUAAAGUGAAUAUAACAAACUAUUAACAACUAUUAUUUAAAAAAAUAACUAUUUUAAAUCAUGAAUCGUAAGAGAAUUAUAACGAUAUACCAGCCGGUGCAAUAGCUGUAGAUAAAAAUAUGAAUUAUUUCCCUUAAUUUCUGUUAUAGACUUUUGUUGGUCUUCUCUUUCUCUUGAGUCCUUUAGUUUCCUCCUGGGUUAUGUUAGUUUACCUCUCAUUUAGAUUGAAAAAAUUAUAGAAAAGGUGAUAAAUGUGAAAUGUGAGAAGUUGAAGCGAUAAAGAAUUGACAAUUAACGUUGCAUUGUUCCCUUAUACCAUCCUGGAUACUUGGACGUUCGAGCCACCAAUUAAGGAAUAUAAUUUUCUGAAGGCAAAUUAUUAUUAAAUGUUCUUUAUUAUCAACCUGUUCAUCUAUUUUAUUAAUUUAAUUAAUGAUUACUCAUUGAUAUAAUGUACAAAUAAAGGGUGCCUUAAAGUAUAUUUUUAUGAUAAA
rnacentral:lncRNA from 1 species